rnacentral:rRNA from 1 species
GACGAACGCUGGCGGCGUGCUUAACACAUGCAAGUCGAACGGUAAGGCCCUUCGGGGUACACGAGUGGCGAACGGGUGAGUAACACGUGGGUAAUCUGCCCUGCACAUCGGGAUAAGCCUGGGAAACUGGGUCUAAUACCGAAUAGGACCACAGGACACAUGUCCUGUGGUGGAAAGCUUUUGCGGUGUGGGAUGGGCCCGCGGCCUAUCAGCUUGUUGGUGGGGUGAUGGCCUACCAAGGCGACGACGGGUAGCCGGCCUGAGAGGGUGUCCGGCCACACUGGGACUGAGAUACGGCCCAGACUCCUACGGGAGGCAGCAGUGGGGAAUAUUGCACAAUGGGCGAAAGCCUGAUGCAGCGACGCCGCGUGGGGGAUGACGGCCUUCGGGUUGUAAACCUCUUUCACCAUCGACGAAGGUUCGGGUUUUCUCGGGCUGACGGUAGGUGGAGAAGAAGCACCGGCCAACUACGUG